rnacentral:rRNA from 1 species
GACGUAGGUGGCGAGCGUUGUUCGGAAUCACUGGGCCUAAAGCGCACGUAGGCGGCCAUGUCAGUCGGGUGUGAAAUCCCCGGGCUCAACCCGGGAACUGCGUCCGAUACUGGCAGGCUUGAAUCCGGGAGAGGGAUGCGGAAUUCCAGGUGUAGCGGUGAAAUGCGUAGAUAUCUGGAGGAACACCGGUGGCGAAGGCGGCAUCCUGGACCGGCAUUGACGCUGAGGCGCGAAAGCCAGGGGAGCAAACGGG